rnacentral:sRNA from 1 species
CAUAGGGCUUCGCCCUAUGUUGAUGUAUCUCGCCCCUUCGGGGCU